GGUUAUCGAAGGUAUAAUUUGACCUUAAUUCAUAAUU
rnacentral:ncRNA from 1 species